CCCCCCCCCCGCGGCAGCGGCGCUGUCCCCAGCGGUUCCCCGGCCCAGGCCCUGCCGCCUCCCGCCACCCCCCCCGCUCCCGGUUCCCUUCUCCGCGUACGUUGUCCGCUGCCCGCAGCCCGCCGCCAGCCCUCACCCGCGCCGCCGCCGUCUCUUCCAGCCCGGCCGCAUCUGCCUUGGUGCCCCUUUUGGAAGAGCGGGUCCGGGACGAGAUGAAAUGGCUGCCGGCUCCGGCCGCUGCGGCCGCCGCUUUGCCCAGGGGGCGCAAGGAGCUCUUCCUGGUGUUCACCAUGGCCCCGGGGAGGGGGACACGGGGGGGCCCCGCCGCCGCCGCCGCCGCCGCUGUUGCUGCCGCUGCCGCCGGCGCGGAGGGAGGAGGGAGGGCGGACAGGCGGGGGCUCGGGCAGGGAGGGGAAGGGAAGGGGAGGGGGAAGAAGGAGAAGUCCUCUGGGGACGCCGCUCCGCCGGGCAGAGACACCAGACAGAACCGCGCCGACUCCUCCCGCCGCUGCCGCCGCCUCCUCGGCUCAGCCCCGCACUAGCCGGCCGCCAUUACUGCCCCUUCUCCCUUUCUCUCCUCUCCGCGCCGCCACCCCGGCUGUUGCCGCGGGGGGGCGCUGCGGCGCCGCCGCCGCCGCGCGCAGGGCCGAGGCGGCCCCCGCUGCAUCCAACAGUCACGUUACAGAGGGCCAAAGAUUUGUAUCUAUUACACUACGUCGGAUGCCUGAGCGCUUUUCAAACUGUUCACAAACACUGACGUGCAGCAAGAAAUCCUCCUUGUGCCACCAGCUGCUGGCCUUCAUUGAACUGAGACACAACGCAUGUACGUAAGCCCCCAAACCCAGAACUCUAUAAGGCAAAUUCAGCAAUAGACACAUAGAGCUGUAGGUGCUGCCGUCAAUAAUAGCAGCACAGAGCUGUAGGUGAUGAAGUCACAGCCUCUGUUUGUGAGUCUGACUUGUUUGGCACUGCUGCUUUGACAAAAAGAAAUACAGUUUCUGAUGGCAUGGCUGGGGCUGCUAGGCUCAUACAGGCUUUAUCAGUAUUCUUAGUGCUUAAAGGUGGAAAUUGCAAUGAUGUUUAAACAGAGAACAAUAAAUGUAAAAACUGUUAUUCUGGUUUACGUCCGUACUCCCACAUACUUCCUUUCAAGAUUAAAGUCUGAAAGCACACAGUGGAGUAUAUACUUAAAAAUGUAAAACGUACGAUAGUUCCAUUAGGAUGUAUAAUAAGAAAAUGGGCCAUUUAGAUUUCCAAGAAAAUAAAUAUCUCUGCAUACAGAGACAAGUUUUCAUUUUUCUGAGGUACUCCUAAGUAUGGUGUCUUCAGAAGUAGAAAUGAUCAUCUUUUGAUUAUCUGACAUUCUCUGCUUACAGCUUUUAAUCUGUAAUAGCAACAGCACUUCGUCUCCUGUUUAAGAACCUGCAGUCUUUCUAAAGCACAGUUCUGCUCAGUGCAAUUAUUUAUUCUUCAUUUAUUCAUUUAUUUGUUUUGAGGUUAUGGAAAUAUGUAGCCAUUUCAAACACUUAGAGGGUAAAGGAGUAUUUUAAUGAAAAAUGCAUGACAGAUUUGGAAAAUGGUAUUGGGAAACGACUUGUUGGAAUGGAAGGAAAUGGCAGGAGGCUGUACUUUACCAAAUGCGUUGUGGGAAAGAACCCAGAGGCAUGUUUCCUAAAAGAGCUACUACUGCAACCGUGUGAUGAUAGAUAAAUGUGCUUACCCAUUUCCGUCCUUGCUACUGAUCAGCCAUGUAAUUCAGAUAUGGUGACCAAAUCCUUUCUGGUCUGAAAAUGAAAAAUAGCAUUUUGAUCUCCUUGAAGUUUUCAUGUGCAUCACAAGAAUAACAUCCCCAUUUUGGGAAAACCCACAGAUGAAGCUGUGGCCCAAAAAAGGACCCAAACUGCAGAUGCAGUGAAUGUCAUAACUCAGGAUUGCAGUGCAUUGGCAGGACUGUUUGGGGAAGCUUGCAUAACAUCUGCUUGCAACAUGCCUGAUUCAAACCAGCACUCCUCCCUCCUCUCAUGAACACUGAUGACUUUUUUAAAAGUAAAAUAAACUUUGUCAUUAUGCAAGCAAAAUUAUUUUCUGGGUGAUUAUCCAGAUCUGCUUGAAGCAACAGCCCACAACACGAAAGCAAUUUACAUUUACUAAAUAUUUUGAUCAUAGUUGUGUCCUUUUGUUUUCUUUGUCCUUUUAUUCCUGUGUUCUGAUCUCAUUCCUGUGAGCCAUGCUCUUUAUGACGCCAGAGGGACUACUCUUGUGGAGGGAUUGAUGUCGUUAGAAAUCCCUGCUCACUGCUUCGAACACUGUAAUGCUUUAUUGUCAUUAUGUUAGCAUAGUAGAGAACAUGUAAAGACAUGCUUCAUUUUGGAUGUUUCCUCCCUACAUGGUUUUUGGCAGAUGGUUUUAUUUUCAGGUUUCUCUCUUGUCCUGUUGUUCUUACAAGGCACGGCCAGUAACUGACAUCUCAUGGCUUUCUGGCUUCUACGUGUGCUCCAUCAUCAUUCUUAGGAGGGACACUAUAAAUGAAUAAGCCAUAAAUAACAAGAUUUGCUUGUCAGUUUUGUUUGGAUUUUUUGUUUCUUAUACAGAUGACAUAUUAACGUAAGAUUAAUAUUUUAUACUACACAUACUAAGAGAUUUAUAUGUGGUUUAACAAUAGAAGAUGAAGUACUGCAGACAUGAAUUUAUAGCUAUUCCACUAAUUCAAAAAUUUAUUUGUUCCCUCUUUCUUACUUCUUGUUUGUGUCUAAUGUCAUGAUGGAAUUAAAACCUGUUUUGACCCUCUAUACGUAGGGAGAGCUUUGUGGGGGAAAAAAGGGGGGCGGAGGGGGAAGCCUGAGUAGAGAAAGAGAAAAGGAGAAAAGAGGUGGAGAAGGAACACAGUUAUACUCCACAAAGUAUUACAUAAAACUUUUGUAGGGUUCAUCCUCAGUAAGAUUCAAUUUCAAGAUUUGUAGUUUGGUCUUGAGGACAGAUGGGUAAACGCUUCUGAAAAUAAAUGCCAUUGGGAAGGACUGUGUUUCAGAUUGAACCAAUUUACAACAAGUGCUGAAGCUUGCAGCAGAGUUCAACACCCUUUUAUCUCCAGUUAUUAGAAAAGAAGAUGAAUGUAACCAAAACUUAUACUGAGAAGAGGCGAGGACAUCUGCUGUGGCAGGUACACCACUGACAAAUUGGAAGACCAUGAAAAAGUGCUUGAGAAGAAUCCCUUUUGCUCAACGAGACUUGGGGAAUUAAGUCUUACUGGGACUCGGUGACAUAAAAAGACAUUAAAAGAUGAGCCAGGAUAAAGAAGAAUGGAAAUCCUUGUUUAUUCCAUAAGUAAGAUUUAAUGUCAUGGGAAAUACUUGGAGAUGGAAGAUUCUGUUGCCACCUGUUCCUGUUUUAUAAGGAAAUCAGGAACACAUGAUAACAAAAGAAAAAGUGCUUCAUCAUUUAUUAGAACUUUUGUAGAGACUUUCAUCCCAGUAGGGACCAGAGGGCUUUUUUCAGUGAAAUCCUAUUUGCUUCAAUCAUAGGCAAUUUAUCAGAGAUUACUUUGUAAUAUCUCUGAAUAGCUGUAACAUUCCAAAGAAUGGAAAUUAAAUCAUCUUUUCAGGACUCUACUUAUAAGCUCUUGUGUGCUUCUUUCUGUCAUGCUGUCAACUCAUCCUGGUUUCAGCUGAAUCUCAAAAUAAAUAGAUUCAGAAGAGAUUAUGCUUUUGUACGUGUGCUCUAUGUCCUUUCUUGAAAGAAUUUUAGGAAAUUGAGAUGGAAUGGCUUCUCUCUUGAGAACUGUCCACUGUGCAAAUAGGCCCUUGGGAAACAUCAAACGAGGGCAUGCUAGCCCGGAUUGGUCCCACCUUACACCUGAACACACAAAGUAAGUCCCUCCACAUUGCACGUGCUUUGCAGUGAUAUUAAAGUGACCCAUUCUUAAUAAUAACGUUUUAGAAAUUAACUUUGAAUGUUCGGUUCUAAUGUUCAGCUGAAUAUUGCUUUCCAAACUACGAUAGGUAACAUAACUGCAGCUUGAAGUGGUAUCAGAGAGCAGAUUUCUUACAUGACGUUAAAUAGGAGUGAUAAGAACUGCCUCCUGAUAUUUCAAAAUUAG
rnacentral:lncRNA from 1 species